rnacentral:rRNA from 1 species
GACGAACGCUGGCGGCGUGCCUAAUACAUGCAAGUCGAACGCAGUGGGGACGGGUGAGUAACACGUUGGUAACCUCCCAUCAGAGGGGAUAACACUUGGAAACAGGUGCUAAACCGAUACUGAUGGAUGGACCCGCGGUGCAUUAGCUAGUGGGUGGGGUAACGGCUCACCAAGGCCACGAUGCAUAGCGGACCUGAGAGGGGGAUCGGCAACACUGGGACGGAGACCGGGCCAAGACUCCAACGGGAGGAAGCAGUAGGGAAUCUUCGGCAAUGGACGAAAGUCUGACCGAGCAACGCCGCGGGAGGGAAGAAGGUUUUCGGAUCGUAAAACUCUGUUGUUAGAGAAGCGGUAGCUAACCAGAAAGCCACGGCUAACUACGUGCCAGCAGCCGCGGUAAUAC